UACAGAGGUCUCAAGCGUUGUUCGGAUUCAUUGGGCGUAAAGGGUGUGUAGGUGGCGCGCUAAGUCGGGUGUGAAAUUUCGGAGCUUAACUCCGAAACUGCAUUCGAUACUGGCGUGCUUGAGGACUGGAGAGGAGACUGGAAUUUACGGUGUAGCAGUGAAAUGCGUAGAGAUCGUAAGGAAGACCAGUGGCGAAGGCGAGUUUCUGGACAGUUACUGACGCUGAGGCACGAAGGCCAGGGGGAGCAAACGGG
rnacentral:rRNA from 1 species